rnacentral:rRNA from 1 species
UACGGAGGAUGCGAGCGUUAUCCGGAUUUAUUGGGUUUAAAGGGUGCGUAGGCGGUAUGGUAAGUCAGCGGUAAAAGCCCGGGGCUCAACCCCGGCCCGCCGUUGAAACUGGCAGUCUCGAGUUGGAGAGAAGUAAGCGGAAUGCGUGGUGUAGCGGUGAAAUGCUUAGAUAUCGCGCAGAACCCCGAUUGCGAAGGCAGCGUACCGGCUCCACACUGACGCUGAGGCACGAAAGCGUGGGUAUCGAACAGG